GAUGAACGCUGACAGAAUGCUUAACACAUGCAAGUCGAUGGGGAAGUGGUGCUUGCACCAUGGUAACCAUGGCGGACGGGUGAGUAACGCGUAAGGAACUUACCUGCGGGACCGGGAUAACAGCAGGAAACUGCUGACAACACCGGAUAAGGUCAUUAAGCUGCAUAGCUUAGUGAUGAAAGGAGACGCCUGCGGAGAGCCUUGCGUCCUAUUAGCUAGUUGGAGGGGUAACGGCCCACCAAGGCGAAGAUAGGUAGCCGGCCUGAGAGGGUGGACGGCCACAAGGGGACUGAGAUACGGCCCUUACUCCUACGGGAGGCAGCAGUGGGGAAUAUUGGACAAUGGGGGCAACCCUGAUCCAGCAAUUCUGUGUGCACGAAGACGGUUUUCGGAUUGUAAAGUGCUUUCAGCAGGGAAGAAGGAAGUGACGGUACCUGCAGAAGAAGCGACGGCUAAAUACGUG
rnacentral:rRNA from 1 species